rnacentral:rRNA from 1 species
UACGAAGGGGGCUAGCGUUGCUCGGAUUUACUGGGCGUAAAGGGCGCGUAGGCGGACGACCAAGUUGGGGGUGAAAGCCCGGGGCUCAACCUCGGAAUUGCCUUCAAAACUGGUCGUCUUGAGUAUGAGAGAGGUGUGUGGAACUCCGAGUGUAGAGGUGAAAUUCGUAGAUAUUCGGAGGAACACCAGUGGCGAAGGCGGCUCACUGGCUCGACACUGACGCUGAGGUGCGAAAGCGUGGGGAGCAAACAGG